AGUUGUCGCGCUAGCGGCACGGCUGGAUAGCUAACUACGGAAAGGAUAAACGCUGAAAGCAUCUAAGCGUGAAGCCCGCUCCAAGAUUAGGUUUCGAUUACCAAUAGGUAUGAAGUCCCCUGGAAGACUACCAGGUUGAUAGGCCGGAUGUGUAAGCUCAGUAAUGGGUUCAGCUAACCGGUACUAAAGGACGACUGCUUGGCCAC
rnacentral:rRNA from 1 species